CCUGAUCCGGGACCCUGAGAGGAAGAGCUGUUGGAGCGGGAGAGUCCUGAGAGAAAAAGACGGAAAAUCGUGGAAAGGCGCUGUGUUGGGGGAGAAGUAGUAUGGAAAGGAGACCGCGGGGAUGAGGAGAGGAGAGAGGCAGGCUGCAUCACCGAAUGGGCAGUCUGUCUUACAGUACACUGUUUGUCUUAAGGCUGUACAAGAAGCAUGGUACCAGCAUCUACUUCUGGUCAGGACCUCAGGAGGCUUCCAACCAUGCUGGAGGUGAAAGGGGAGCAGCCCUGCUGAAGGUGAUAAUGAGCGCUAAAAUUUUCACAAGUAAGAACAGAAGUCAUCACAAUCUUUGUUCUCUGUAGAUUCACCAAUCUGUACUCCAUUGGGAUCAUGUUAGAAGACCUCGGUGAAUACAUGACCAAACUCCCUACUUCUCUUUUCUCCUUUUAAACCUCUAUAGGAAUACAAACAAUUUUAGAAAUGAGAAUAUUUAGUUAUGGAAAAAGUGAAGACCUUGGUGGGAAGUUUGUUUCUACAGAAUGAAAAGCAUGAAUUCUAAAUUUAUAAAAAUUAGUAGGAACCAGAGCUGGAUGCAGUGGCUCACGCCUGUA